rnacentral:rRNA from 1 species
AGAGUUUGAUCAUGGCUCAGGAUGAACGCUGGCGGUAUGCUUAACACAUGCAAGUCGAACGAAAGUUUUUAACUUUAGUGGCGAACGGGUGCGUAAUACGUGAGAAUCUGCCCUUAGGAGAAGAAUAACUACUGGAAACGGUUGCUAACUCUUCAUAUGCCGAGAGGUGAAAUAGUUUUUGCUGCCUAGGGAUGAGCUCACGCCUGAUUAGCUAGUUGGUAAGGUAAUGGCUUACCAAGGCCACGAUCAGUAGCUGGUUUGAGAGAACGAUCAGCCACACUGGGACUGAGACACGGCCCAGACUCCUCCGGGAGGCAGCAGUGAGGAAUUUUCCGCAAUGGGCGAAAGCCUGACGGAGCAAUACCGCGUGGGGGAUGAAGGAUUUUGGUCUGUAAACCUCUUUUCUCAAGAAAGAAGUUCUGACGGUACUUGAGGAAUAAGCAUCGGCUAACUCCGUGCCAGCAGCCGCGGUAAUACGGGGGAUGCAAGCGUUAUCCGAAAUCAUUGGGCGUAAAGCGCCUGUAGGUUGUUUAUUAAGUCUGUUGUUAAAGCCUAGGGCUUAACCCUAGAACAGCAAUGGAAACUAGUAGACUAGAGUAUGGUAGGGGUAGAGGGAAUUUCUAGUGUAGCGGUGAAAUGCGUAGAUAUUAGAAAGAACACCAGUGGCGAAAGCGCUCUACUGGGCCAUUACUGACACUCAGAGGCGAAAGCUAGGGUAGCAAAAGGGAUUAGAUACCCCUGUAGUCCUAGCCGUAAACGAUGGAUACUAGAUGUUGUGCUUAUAGUACAGUGUCCUAGCUAACGCGUUAAGUAUCCCGCCUGGGGAGUACGCUCGCAAGGGUGAAACUCAAAGGAAUUGACGGGGGCCCGCACAAGCGGUGGAGCA